rnacentral:lncRNA from 1 species
CUCCUGGUAAAGAGACCACCAUAGGGCGGAGCCCUGAGCUUCCAUCUUCCUCCUUCCUGCUAGUGAGCUUGGCCAGGGGGGCUUGGACACUUUGGAGAGGGGCCGACACACGGAUGAUGACAAAACAGAAAGAUAGUAAGAGCCUCUGGUUCCUAGUGGCCUUGUGGAUUUGCUGAACCAAGCCUUGAUGUGCUGACCUCCAGACUCGUUACACUUAACAUUUAUUAAAUGUCUUUAUUACUUAACUGUUGGUUGGUAUUUUAUGAUUUUCAGCUUAUCUUAACUGAUAUGGAUAUAAUUACUAAUGCUUGUGAGAAUGGAUGAGCCCUGAGAAGGGGGAAGAGAAAGACAAAGCCUGGAAACUUCUUUUAGCAGAUGGAAACCUUUUGCUAAUUAAACCUUAAGGUUUUUAAUCUUAAAAGCUACACAGAAAACUUGUUUUAAUUUUGAAAACAUAAUACUCCUCCUCCCCCAACACGCGCACCGGACAACCUCUCUCCUUGAACCACUCCGGGUGGUUCAAAUUCCAAAGAGCAUAUGUUUCAAAUGAAAGGUCAAAAAGGAGAUCGGUUUCAGUUUGGAGCUAAGGGAGAGUGAUUAUUUCUCUAAUGUGAGCUGCUUCCUGUUGCUAAAACACUGCCCCUUCAAAUGAGAUUGUUUGCUAAGUGAGGCAUCUCCUUCCUCUUUCUUCCUUGGAUGAAUUAGCAAGCAAGAAGAGUCAGUCUGAGGCUCCUCACUGUGACGGACUGAGGAGCUUUAUUUACUCCCUGCGGAUAGUGGCCUGCCACCAGAGAGGCCACAGGCCGGAGUGAUGGAGCUGACUCAUAGGGUAAGGAGAAAGUGGCCUGGAUCGUUGACAGAGGUAAGCAGUGUCCAAUUCCUCCUAGGCGGGGGAGGGAGAGGUUAUGGCAAAGAAAGCCGUUUCUAUUCCACUGGGCAAUUAAUGCCACCAUUUUUCUUGAAAAAGCGUUUUUUUUUUCAUAAGCCGUUGAGGAUAAUUUAACCCCCAUCUUGACAGGACGUACUAAUGACCGCUAAUGGAUACAUUCUUUUAAUAAAUGAAGAGGCACAAGAAAAUUGCCAGAUAUUAAACAGAGUCCCACAUGUCUUAUCUGAGACUAUAAUGGCUCUAUCAAGUGACCCAAGUGAAAGAAAUGUCACUCUUCAGAGGUUAAAGGAGUCUAUUUUUUCUUAGUGCGAUAUAAAUUCAUGGCUAGAAAGAACAGUAAUUCAUUGGUCUACCCUAGGAAAUGUUUAAAGGGGGCUGUAUCUCAAAUGAUGCAUUUUCUAUCGGUAGUAAAGAAAAUAUGAAAUAGGUACCUCUGUGCACUGUGGAUUUAUGUAAAUGGCUUUUUACCAGGUAAUAUAGCCUAAAGCUCUGUCAAGUCUCUAACGCUUGGAAUUUUUGGCAAAGAAAUGAAAGAACCUGUAAGUUAUCAUUAUUUUAUUUUAUUUUUUUCAAUACCUUCCAGGGUGUGGUCUUUUUGUUUGGUAAUUUUAAACUACAUUCUUGAAAAAGUUUCUCAAGAUUCAAGCAAUUCCUAGGACUGUAUGUACACUUGGGGAACAUUUCUUAAAAUACAUAACGAAUUCAAAUUAAUAAGAAAAAGACAACCCAGAAGAAAAAUGGACACGUGAAUUAAUCAGAAACUCAAGAGGUAAUGGCCAAUAAUCCUAUGAAAAGGUGAAUGAUGUGUAUGGUGGUCUUCUGCAACUUGCCUUUCUGCCUUUCCUUCUUUCCUUCCUUCCUUCCUUCCUCUCUCUUUCUUUUUCUUUCUUUCUCUCUCUCUCUUUUUUUUUUUUGAGACAGAGUCUCACUGCUCUGUCGCCCAGGCUGGAGUGCAGUGGCACAAUCUCGGCUCACUGCAACCUCCGCCUCCGGGGUUCAAGUGAUUCUUGUGCCUCAGCCUCCUGAGUAGCUGGGACCACCAGCCUGCACCACCACGCCAGCUAAUUUAAGGAGGUGAACCUGAUUGCAGAGUGCGUAGCUCUGGAGGCUGGGGGCCCAUUUUAGAUGAAAUGAAGUCGUUCAUGUGCAACUGCAACAGUUUGACUGAAGGAGUGAAAGGAAGAGUGGAAAUGAUGAGUCAGAAUGGCAGACUUUUGACAAAGUUUUGCCAUGUUGGCCAGGCUUGUCUCAAAACCCCUGACCUCAAGUGAUCCGCUCGCCUUGGCCUCCUGAAGUGCUGGGAUUACAGUUGUGAGCCACCGUGCCUGACCCAAAUGCCAUUUUCUUUCUUUCUUUUUUCCUGAGACAGAGUCUCGCUCUGUCACCAGGCUGGAGUGCUGUGGCGCGAUUUCGGCUCUCUGAAACCUCCACCUCCUGGGUUAGAGGAAUUCUCCUGCCACAGCCUCCUGAAUAGCUGGGACUACAGGUGUACACCACCACGCCCAGCUAAUUUUUUGUAUUUUUAGUAGAGACGGGGUUUUGCCAUGUUGGUCAGGAUGGUCUUGAUCUCCUGACCUCGUGAUCCACCCGCCUGGGCCUCCCAGAGUGCUGGGAUUACAGAUGUGAGCCACCGCACCCGGCCCCAACUGCCAUUUUCAAUAUAACACUAUGCCUCUGCGUUUGAUCCAUCCAUGGUAUCGUGUGUAGCAACAUCAUUUUCACUAUGGUAAUUAUUCAGUGGAGGAACAUUCCACAAUUUUGUUCUCCCUACAUGUAGCAUGGUUCCAUAUUUAGAAAGCUCAAAUACAGCUUAAAAUUAUAAAAUGGAUUGUGUAUGGAUAUAUACAUACCUGACAAAACUGCUUAAAACAAGCAAAAUCACAAUAAAAACCAUCUUCAAGAUAAUGUUUUCUUCAUGGAGAGGGAGACUGACACUGAGGAGAGGAUGGGAAAUGUAUCAGUUAUCUAUAGCUAUGUAAAGACCCACCCUAAAAUAGUGGCUUAAAACAACCAGUUAUUGUUCAUGAUUCUCUGGGUCAAGACUUCAGGCAAGGCUUGGUGGGGAUGGCUUGUCUCUGGCUCACUCAUGUGUCUGCGUUCAGCUGGGCUGGUGGGUCCAAGAUGGCCUCACCCUCAAGGCUGGGGCCUUGGUGCUGUGUGUCGGCUGGAGUUUCUCAGACUUCCUCCAUGUGGCUUCUCUCUUCAUGUAGAGUUUCAUCUUUUGUUCCAUGUUCUUUUCCCUCCAAGAGGUUAGCCUGGAGUUCUUUACAAGGAGAAAUCAUCCACUAAUAUUUGUAUAACUAAAACUUGAUGGCAAUUAAAAUAUAUUAACAAAGGUGUGCUCUGUGGUCCAAUAUUGUUGGGAAAUGUUGCAUAUGGCUUCUCCUUGUGGAGCUUCCACUGCAAACAGAACAGAAAGCUUACUAAAGUCUCUGAGAGGUCUUGCAUGGAGCAAAGAAAGACAAAAGGCGAGAUGCUACGUCUUUUUUCCAGGGAUAUAUAAAGGAAGGGCUGGGUUAGAUAAAGCAAGAAGGCUUUGGCUUGCCUUAUGAGAACAUCAUCAUCAUCUUAACUCUGCUAUUCCUGUACCCAUCAGAGUCCCAGUAUAACUGCAGGUGGCUCCAAUUGCCAAGGCGUCUGAACACUCCUAAAACCUGUAGGAAGUAGCCACUAGGCCAAAGGGUCAACAGUGCUUUUCCAGGAGUCAGGUCAUUUAUGUUUCUGCCUCUCUCCACCGUCCUGCCAGUG